GGGCAACCUGCCGGAAAGAUGGGGACAACAUCCCGAAAGGGUGCUAAUACCGAAUGUUGUACGAGGGACGCAUGUUCCAUGUACUAAAGGAUCCUAUCCGCUUUCCGAUGGGCCCGCGUCCGAUUAGCUGGUUGGUGAGAUAACGGCCCACCAAGGCGACGAUCCGGUAGCCGGCCUGAGAGGGUGAACGGCCACAUUGGGACUGAGACACGGCCCAGACUCCUACGGGAGGCAGGCAGUGGGGAAUCUUCCGCAAUGGGCGAAAGCCUGACGGAGCAACGCCCGCGUGAGUGAAGAAGGCCUUCGGGCCGUAAAGCUCUGUUGCCGGGGAAGAGUGCUAUGGGGGAACCUGUAGAGGGACGGUACCCGGCGAGGAAGCCGCGGCUAACUACGUGCCAGCAGCGGC
rnacentral:rRNA from 1 species